rnacentral:misc_RNA from 1 species
AAAGUCGUAACAAGGUUUCCGUAGGUGAACCUGCGGAAGGAUCAUUAGUGAAUUAUGAGGUCCUCCUAGAGGACUCGUCUUCCACUUUCAACCCUGUGAACCCAUCAUCGCUCGUUGGUUGAGCAGAUGUAAAAUGUCACCCUUUUAACGCAUGUUAAUGAAUGUAAAAAAUUAUAAUCAAAUAAAACUUUCAACAACGGAUCUCUUGGCUCCC